UNUGACUUGAGUGCAGAAGGGGAGAGUGGAAUUCCAUGUGUAGCGGUGAAAUGCGUAGAUAUAUGGAGGAACACCAGUGGCGAAAGCGGCUCUCUGGUCUGUCACUGACGCUGAGGCUCGAAAGCGUGGGUAGCGAACAGGAUUAGAUACCCUGGUAGUNCACGCCGUAAACGAUGAGUGCUAGGUGUUAGGCCCUUUCCGGGGCUUAGUGCCGGAGCUAACGCAAUAAGCACUCCGCCUGGGGAGUACGACCGCAAGGUUGAAACUCAAAGGAAUUGACGGGGGCCCGCACAAGCGGUGGAGCAUGUGGUUUAAUUCGAAGCAACGCGAAGAACCUUACCAGGUCUUGACAUCCCGAUGCUAUUCUUAGAGAUAGGAAGUUACUUCGGUACAUCGGAGACAGGUGGUGCAUGGUUGUCGUCAGCUCGUGUCGUGAGAUGUUGGGUUAAGUCCCGCAACGAGCGCAACCCUUAUUGUUAGUUGCCAUCAUUAAGUUGGGCACUCUAGCGAGACUGCCGGUAAUAAACCGGAGGAAGGUGGGGAUGACGUCAAAUCAUCAUGCCCCUUAUGACCUGGGCUACACACGUGCUACAAUGGUCGGUACAACGAGUUGCGAGCCGGUGACGGCAAGCUAAUCUCUGAAAGCCGAUCUCAGUUCGGAUUGGAGGCUGCAACUCGCCUCCAUGAAGUCGGAAUCGCUAGUAAUCGCGGACCAGCACGCCGCGGUGAAUACGUUCCCGGGCCUUGUACACACCGCCCGUCACACCACGAGAGUUUGUAACACCCGAAGUCGGUGAG
rnacentral:rRNA from 1 species